ACCGGGUGUGGUGGCGCGCGCCUGUAAUCCGCGCUCAUGGAGGCUGAGGAUGGAGGAUGGUUGGAGCUCAGGAGCUCUGAGCUGCAGUGGACUGUGCUGAUCGGGUGUCCGCACUCAGUUCGGUAUCGAUAUGGUCUUUCUGGGGGAGCUUGGGGAGACCAGGUCGUCUAAGGAGGGGUGAACCGGCCCAGGCCGGAAAC
rnacentral:sRNA from 1 species